GACAACGUGGCCGAGUGGUUAAGGCGAUUGACUAGAAAUCAAUUAGGGUUUCCCUGCGUAGGUUCAAGUCCUGCCGUUGUCG
rnacentral:tRNA from 1 species